ACAGAGCUCAGCCUUGGGGUAAACAUUUCUUGGACUUAUCAUAUGAAGUCGUAUUCUUAGAUAUUUCGAUUAUAUUGUAGUACAAUAAUGUGAUCCCCUUGUACAAUAUGACCUGUAAAGCAAACAAUAGGAAUACCCUUAUUUUAACUUGUGGGAGAGAAACUUUUUGUGACUUGUAGGUUGUGUGUUAAGUUUAUCAUAUGUAUUAUGUUACUCACUGCACAGACUUUUUUUUCCCUUCAUAAUAUAUUGGGCACCUGUGGCACACACUCACUGUCACACGUAUUUUCUCUUAUUCGCUUUCCUUCUAAGAUGGUGCUCUCAUACUUGAUUAAAUAUAUUCCUAUAUGUUUACUUCUUAGGCUUGAAGAGAUGAGGUGGUCUUUGUGUGUUUUUGACAUUUUUGAUAAUAAGAUUGGGUCGAGGGUGUUUAAACGGUCAGUAUUGUGAAACCAUAUAGCUUAUAAAAUUAGUAUGGGACCAGGAUCUAGCAUUUUUUGGAGUGAUAAUAAUACAGGUAGAUAGAGAAGAAAAUUCUGAUUCAAAAGUAUUUUUGCUUAAACUAAAGGAUAUGUUAAAAAUAUCAUUUUCAAUUACAGAUUUUUAAGAGCACUUGGUUUUGCAAAAUAAAUGGAAAUUGAAACGGACUUGAUCUCAGACAAUUUUUACAAGAGUGAUAUGGUAUCCUGUCACCUGGAAGGAACAGUAUUUCAGACAACUUACAUUCUCCUAACUUAAGCUGAUUGGCGCUGCCUCUGCGACUUUCAGUAUUCCAGUAAAGGCCAACGAACAUUCUUCGACUGGCAAGAUAGAGCUUGAACAUAAACCUUUCUGGUAAUACAUCGCUCUUUUUUGCCAGAAUAUACUUGGAAGAGUUGCUGGCUUUUACAGAGGCCAUGUUGAUUGCUUUUCACUGUGACACUAUCAAAGUCAGAAUUGUCCUGGUAUAAGCUAUCUGUCGAAUUGCAGGGCAGGUACGAAGAGGGUGUCCUGCGGGGAAGGCGCGUAGGGGUCACAGAUGCUCCCAACCUUGACUCUCUGGUUUUUGAUGUAAGACCGGAGAAAAAAUACGAGAAUAGAAGUGGCGGCGGCUUUGUCUCUGGAGUCUAUGAGGUCAGUAACAAGACUCUUUUAGAGAGGGCAAGACGGUUCGGUGUGACGGACCCGCCCAA